rnacentral:hammerhead_ribozyme from 1 species
GUACUGAUGAAGAGUCCCAAACUAGGCGAGACGAAACAGCUGUCCAGUAC